GGCAAGACGGAAAGACCCCGUGAACCUUUACUAUAGCUUGACACUGAACAUUGAGCCUUGAUGUGUAGGAUAGGUGGGAGGCUUUGAAGUGUGGACGCCAGUCUGCAUGGAGCCGGCCUUGAAAUACCACCCUUUAAUGUUUGAUGUUCUAACGUGGACCCGUGAUCCGGGUUGCGGACAGUGUCUGGUGGGUAGUUUGACUGGGGCGGUCUCCUCCUAAAGAGUAACGGAGGAGCACGAAGGUUGGCUAAUCCUGGUCGGACAUCAGGAGGUUAGUGCAAUGGCAUAAGCCAGCUUGACUGCGAGCGUGACGGCGCGAGCAGGUGCGAAAGCAGGUCAUAGUGAUCCGGUGGUUCUGAAUGGAAGGGCCAUCGCUCAACGGAUAAAAGGUACUCCGGGGAUAACAGGCUGAUACCGCCCAAGAGUUCAUAUCGACGGCGGUGUUUGGCACCUCGAUGUCGGCUCAUCACAUCCUGGGGCUGAAGUAGGUCCCAAGGGUAUGGCUGUUCGCCAUUUAAAGUGGUACGCGAGCUGGGUUUAGAACGUCGUGAGACAGUUCGGUCCCUAUCUGCCGUGGGCGCUGGAGAACUGAGGGGGGCUGCUCCUAGUACGAGAGGACCGGAGUGGACGCAUCACUGGUGUUCGGGUUGUCAUGCCAAUGGCACUGCCCGGUAGCUAAAUGCGGAAGAGAUAAGUGCUGAAAGCAUCUAAGCACGAAACUUGCCCCGAGAUGAGUUCUCCCUGACCCUUUAAGGGUCCUGAAGGAACGUUGAAGACGACGACGUUGAUAGGCCGGGUGUGUAAGCGCAGCGAUGCGUUGAGCUAACCGGUACUAAUGAACCGUGAGG
rnacentral:rRNA from 1 species